GAUGAACGCUGGCGGCGUGCCUAAUACAUGCAAGUCGAGCGAAGCGGGGAAGGGUGAGUAACACGUGGAUAACCUCCUAUAAGACUGGGAUAACUUCGGGAAACCGGCGCUAAAACGGAUACUUAUCGAUGGAUCCGCGCUGCAUUAGCUAGGUGGUAAGGUAACGGCUUACCAAGGCAACGAUGACUAGCCGACCCGAGAGGUUGAUCAGCCACACUGGAACAUGGACACGGUCCAGACUCCUGCGGGAGGCAGCAGUAGGGAAUCUUCCGCGAUGGGCGAAAGCCUGACGUAGCGACGCCGCGUGAUUGAUGAAGGUCUUGGGAUCGUAAAACUCUGUUAUUAGGGAAGCGGUACCUAAUCAGAAAGCCACGGCUAACUACGGGCCAGCAGCCGCGGUAAAUC
rnacentral:rRNA from 1 species